GACAAACGCUGGCGGCGUGCUUAACACAUGCAAGUCAAACGGACUAUCUCAUUUCGGUGGGGUAUUUAGUGGCAAACGGGUGAUUAACGCGUAAACAACCUACCUCUUAAAUGGGGACAACAUCCCAAAAGCGGUGCUAAUACCAAAUGAAGUGACUUUCCUGCAUGGAAAAAAUACUAAAGGUGGCCUCUAUUUAUAACCUACCACUGAAAAAUGGGUCUGCGUCUGAUUGGCUAGUUGGCGGGGUAACGGCCCACCAAGGCAACAAUCAGUACCCGGUCUGAAAGGAUGAACGGCCACUUUGGGACUGAAACACGGCCCAAACUCCUACGGGAGGCAGCAGUGGGAAAUCUUCCGCAAUGAACAAAAGUCUGACGGACCACCGCCGCGUGAGUGAAAAAGGUUUUCGGAUCGUAAAGCUCUGUUGUUUGAAACAAAUGUGCCUGUUUCAAAUAGGGAUAGGUAAUGACGGUAUUAAAC
rnacentral:rRNA from 1 species